ensembl:lncRNA
UUUCAUAGGUAAGAAGAAGUAAAUAAGUUAGAUUUGGGGUCAUGGAAGGAGAAACCAGACCUAGAAAUGUGUGCAUUUUGCUGAGGACACCCAAAAAGUAAAAGCUCCUCCUUCAGAGAAAAUUAGCUUUAAAAAUCACAAUAUCAAGAACUCAUCAACAUCCAUUUCCCAGCACCCUCCUCUCAUGUGUCUCUGCCUCUCUCUUGUACCAGAGGUUGGCAGUCAACCCAAGGCCAGCAGUCAUGGUGGCAGACACAUUCCAGACAGAAGAUCAUUUCAUUUCUAGACACCGUAACGAAGGACUUGGCAGUUGUGUCAAGCAUCUUGGACAGUGUUUGUACCACAGGAGAAAAGAAAAAAAUGGAGAAUGUUGUACUUUUGAUGCAAGCAAGAGCCCCAUUACUAAUUAAACCACAGCAGCCUGAACAUCGAACGAUCAGCCAGUGGGCACCUCCAGCAGAGUUAGAAGGUUCUGCUGAGACGGGUAAUGGAGUUUGCGCGCCUCAGAUAGAAUUCUAGAAAUAGCCUUGAUGUCACACCCUACAGCCUCCUCAUUUCACAUCUAUCAUCCCUCCCCACGCUAGGCUGUCUGUUAAGUUAGAAGACCUCUCAAAGCCUUUCUGCCCCUGUCCUCCAAAUCCGAUGAGGGCCAGUGAGUGGUGAUUAAGCCAAGACCUUUGAAAAGUGCUACUGUCUCAAUUAGAAUGACUUGGGCUAUAAAUAACAGAAAAUCCCACCUCAUCUGGCUUCAACAGUAAGGACAACUAUAACCUUAUAUAACAAGAAGUCCUAGCAUCAGAUGGCUCGAGGGUGGCUCCAGAAAGCUACUCAAGAACACCAAGACCCUGGUUCCAUCUUCUUUCCACUAUUCCAACCUCAACAAAGCAGCUUGGUCUUUGACAAACUCCUCCUCCAAUUUACGAGAUGACUUCCAAGACUACAAACAUUAUUGGCAAAUAACAAAGUCCAGUCAAAUGAGAGCAUGUUUACUAUCAUUUGUCCUUUUUUAAAGAAGGAUUCCUUUGCUAGAGAAUUCCCCCCAGAGUUCCUCUUAAUUCUCACUGGCUCAGUCGCAUUCCCUACCCCUUCCCACUUACUGGCUAGGAAAAUGGGACUGAAGUGCUUGACCAAGAAGCAUCGGGAUUUUUACCAGAGCCAUGUGGGGGAAAAGUAGGAACCUGAAUGAAAUUAGAGGUUUGUGAACAAAGAAGAGUAAAUGGCUGUUGGAAAUGUAACCAGCAUACCUGGUUUGACAUCAACAGCCAAAUAACCUCCUGAAUGCUAUUUAUCCACCAUUCCAUGACAUCCUGCAGGAGCAAAGCCCUCCUGCCAAAGGUAGACGUAAAAGUGAGAAAUGCUUACUUAUUCACAUGACCUGGCUCCCGUGCUCUAAAUCGCAAGAUGUAAGGAUGUGAGGAAUGAUCAAGACCAGAACAGCCACACACACAGUACAUAUUAUUGGCCUCUCUAGGCUUAUCUCUUUUCACAUCGAAACCUUUGCGAUUUCAGAGACAUACUUUUGCUGAGAUUAUCUUAUUUUCAAGAGUUUUUUUCCUUUCUUCAAAUGUCUAGAAAAGCAAUAUGUUCUUUCUGUUUACUGAAUAAGUCCAGUUACUGUAUAGAUGGGAGCCUCUAUUAUUUUCAGUGAGGUUGUGUGGAUCUUGCCGAGCAGAACUUUUCUAUACUGUUAAGGUCCACACACACUUCGCAUCCGUCUUUUCUUCUAGGUGGGUUACCUUUUCCUGAACCAACAGUUCAGAAUGGGCCACAGUUUUGACUCAGCCACAGGUCACUGUCAUAGUGAUGGGAGACAAAAUACACAGGGAGCUGGCGAACUGACCAAUAUCAGCAUUUUUAAUAAAUCCCCUCGCUUAUAUAUCCCUGCCA